rnacentral:rRNA from 1 species
CAUGUGGUUUAAUUCGAUGAUACGCGAGGAACCUUACCUGGGCUCAAAUGUAUGUUGACGUAUUCUGAAAGGGAUACUUCUUCGGACAAUAUACAAGGUGCUGCAUGGUUGUCGUCAGCUCGUGCCGUGAGGUGUCGGGUUAAGUCCCAUAACGAGCGCAACCCCUAUCAUUAGUUGCCAUCAGGUCAAGCUGGGGACUCUAAUGAAACUGCCUACGCAAGUAGUGAGGAAGGUGGGGAUGACGUCAAAUCAGCACGGCCCUUACGUCCAGGGCUACACACGUGCUACAAUGGCCGGUACAAAGGGCAGCUACCUGGUGACAGGAUGCUAAUCUCAAAAGCCGGUCUCAGUUCGGAUCGGAGUCUGCAACUCGAGUGCAUGAAGUUGGAAUCGCUAGUAAUCGCGGAUCAGCAUGCCGCGGUGAAUACGUUCCCGGGCCUU